CCUGGUGGCUCAGAUGGUAAAGCAUCUGCUUACAGUGCAGGAGACCUGGGUUUGAUCCCCGGGUCAGGA
rnacentral:tRNA from 1 species